rnacentral:rRNA from 1 species
UACGAAGGGGGCUAGCGUUGCUCGGAAUCACUGGGCGUAAAGGGUGCGUAGGCGGGUCUUUAAGUCAGGGGUGAAAUCCUGGAGCUCAACUCCAGAACUGCCUUUGAUACUGAAGAUCUUGAGUUCGGGAGAGGUGAGUGGAACUGCGAGUGUAGAGGUGAAAUUCGUAGAUAUUCGCAAGAACACCAGUGGCGAAGGCGGCUCACUGGACUGGUAUUGACGCUGAGGUGCGAAAGCGUGGGGAGCAAACAGGG